ensembl:lncRNA
GCAGAGAACAGUGGGAAAGCAUGGCUACACCUGUGUAAUCAUUCAUGUGGAAUCCAAAGCAAUCCUUCAAAGGAGUCCUUCAGAAAGCAAUAGUCAGCAUAAAGUCAUCACAGCUGACUCUGGACAGGAUGUCACUGUGCCAUGUCAAGCUCCAAACGACAACAACAACUUAGUUGUCGUUUGGGACAGAGCUGAACUGAAGUCAGAAUAUGUCCUUUUAUACCAGGAUGAGUUGAUUGUUCCAGACAACCAGCAUCCAUCUUUUGUGAAUCGGACAGAUCUGCAGGACAGACAGAUGAAGGAUGGAGACGUGUCUUUGAUUCUGAAGGAUGUGAAUACUGAUGACACUGGAAUGUACGAGUGUUAUGUCAUCCGGGGAUUCAGAAAACAUACGAUUCUUAUCGGCAAAAUCUACCUUUAUGUUGUUCCUCCAGGUCACACAGGAGGAGACACAGAGGAUGGAUCUCUUAGACUGAUCCUUCACCUGUCAGUUCCUGCUGUGGUUCUGGUGUUAAUUAUCCUUAAACUACAGAAACAUUGUGUGAUAUUUUGGAAGCUGUGAUCCAUUCUUGCACGGGGUGGGGGCCAAUGUUCCCUCUAAGCUGCACACGUGCGCAAUUGCGCACUGCUGGCACGGUCUCUGCGCACAAAAAAUCUGCGUUGCGCACAAAAAAAAUCUAACCUGAACUGAAAUUAAAAUUAAUACUUUAACAAUUCUGUUUUGCAGUGUUAGUCAGUGAGUGACUGGCUGCUCCCGUAUGGGAUUAGAAUGAUGCCACCUUAUCCAACAGUCCAGCCAAUAACGCGAUUCACAUUCGUAUAUACGCAGCCAACCAACGUCACUGACAGGCUAUGACAGCGUCCUUAUGUGCCGACACCGGUGUUUUAGCUGGCAAAGCGGUGUGGCUGAUGUGAAGUUAAUGACAAUGUGUACAACCAUUGGAGAGGUGAGAAGGACAGAUGGAAAAAUUGAAAAAGGGAAACGUGUGGACUUUAUACCAGUUUUUUAAAUUGUGCUGAUAGGGCACGUAAAACCAGAGUUGAUAAAAAUAUCUUCAAUGUUUGGUUUUCUUCCUGAAUGCGAUCGUUGUUUAUAUUUACUGCGGGAAGAAACGGUAAAAAUGCCGUUUUAUAAGGAAAAAUGCUCAAAAGCGCUCUCCACCUGUGAGCAAAAACAAACCCCACCCCCCUGUCCCUUUCCUAUUCCUCCAAAAAAGUACCAUGUCGACCAAUCAAAAAAUGAUAUGGCAACGCGGCAUCUAGUUGUUAAGAAACGGGGGGGAGAGUUUUAGGAGUGACGGCAGUGUUUUGAGAUGUGAGAGAUUUGAGACGUUUAGUGCAAAUCUUGUGUAGUUAGUGUGUAGUGUAGUCAAUAGUUUUGUUGUGUGUGUCAGAACAAUGAGGCGACUGCUGAAUGUUACAGGUGUUACAGCAGUGAUACAUCUCCUGCUGUGUGGCCUGCAGAUAUCAGGCUGUUGUUCUCCUUUAUCUCAUAGUGGACAGAAAUAAUUUUUGGAGAGGCACAAAUAAUUUUUGUGGCAUCAGAUUUGAUGCAGAACAGCUGAUUGUUCUGUAAAUAGUUUGAAAUGUUUAUUUAAAAAACGCCUUGGCUGCAUUUAAAAAAAUAGCUGCAAAAACUUUGUUGUUUGCCAAACUCAGUUACUUUUUUGAAGAAGUAACUAUAUAAUUAAUUGCCCGACUGUUACGUCCCUCUGCAUCCCCUAAUCUCCUCAAUGUUUUCAGCUGGUGCUAAUUGGCCACACCUAGUCAGGUGUGGAUAAAAGCAUACCUGAGGCAAGCUUCCCAGGGAGCUCACUUGUCUUUGCCUUGGUGGCACCAGCCAUUUUAGCGAACCUGUUGUGCCAUUUUAAGUUAAAAGCCUCUUCUCAUCUACACUCUAUUCGUCUCCUUUUUUUAUGUUGCGGCUUUUGAGCCGGGGCGUAACAUAAGUGGGGGCUCAUCCGGGAUUGUUUGGAUGUUUCUUGGGGACUGAAUAUCAGGUUUUUUGUAUUUCUUUAAGUGGGUGAGUGAAGGUGUUCACUGUGAUUGAGCAACGUCCCUUUAGUUAGUGUGUUUCAGCUGGGUGGCUGUGCUGCCCUUCCAUCGAAGCACUUGUUUGUUGUUUUGCUUUGUUGUUUUAGUUUUUUGUGUUUGGUGGUUAUCCUGGGUGGGGUUACGCUUCAGGGUUUGGUGGGAGACUGUACCCCUGGUCUGCUGCCUACCCUUGAGUUUGCGUUUAAAGAUGCCUCGAGCCCGGUACACCAAUGAAGACUAGACAGGUAAAGUUUUAUUGGGUUUUUUUAGCGUUUUAGGCUGGGAGUUGCUCAAAGUGAAUUAGUGGCACCAAACUUGGCAGGAGGUUAAGACAUGGUCUUGUAGCUGAGGCGGGUAGGUUGUUUUUAAGUUGGCAUAGUGUGUACACUGUGUGUGAAUAUGUCAGUGUUGAUGGAUGCUAAUAAGAUCCUUGUGAGGUGAGUGUUUUGUGCUGUGACCUUUAGUGUUGUGGGGAAUAUGACUACACAGGUCAAUGACUAGAUUUUUUAAAAAUUUCAUUGUAAGUGGGCUAAAGCAGUUAUUUAAAAGUAGUCCAACAUAAAUGUAAAUGUUGUAAUAAACCAUGUAACUUGGAUGGAUUAGAUGCUGGCGUGACCACAGUGCACACGUCUGAUGUUGCUCACAGUGGUCCAAGGGAUCGCUCAGGGAGUUUGUGUGUUCGCUCAGACACAUGAAAAAUUAGAGGGAACAUUGGUGGGGGCUGAUCAGGCAGAUUUUAUUCACUGUAAGUACAAAUGUAAUAUAAAAUCAUAUACUGGAUAUCAUAUGUAUACCAUGUGAUAUCACAUGUCAAACACCUCUGUCUACAUAGAUAGACAGAGGUGUUUGAAUAUAAUACCAAAGGAAACUCCUUUUGUCUUUUGCUUUUCUUUGAAGUGUGUUAAAACUCUCUUUUUUAAGUGUUGUCUAGGGAAAGGGAAUGAGCUGCCUAGUGCAUUAGAAACAUACUGCCAUAGAAAGGUUUUACAAGGCUGUAUCUAUUAAACACCAAAUUGUGUAAAUUAUGUUCUAGAGGGUGUUUUUUAUUAUCUAUGUGGAUCUCUUAGGAUAUAUUUUUCAUACUCAACUCUUGGUUGUGUAUAUUUUCUCUCUCUCUCUGAGCCUAGGCUUGGUUGAGCAGAAAAGGCUCCACCUUUGGGUCGAGCCAAAAUCCUCUGCUCUUGGUCCAUGCACUUGUUGCUAGGGCUGCACGAUUAAUCGUUGGAAAAUCGCGAUCUCGAUUCAUACUUAUGUGCGAUCUUAUUUCCAAAUGACAACGAUUAAAAAAAAAAGAAAAAAAAAAAGACGACGACGAUUGUACCGCAUUUUGAUCCGGGACGUAAUCUGCAUGAAAACAAGCGCUCCCUCUUCCUGCUCAACAAAUGACAAGGGCGGAGCCUUAUACCACGUGAUACAGAAGCUGUGCCGUGAUGCUCAAAUUGGCAGGGAAAAACAACGGAGAACACGUCAGGGAUGACGAGAAAGUGACAGGAGAAAAUCGGUCCCGGUCAACCACCCAAACAUCAAUAACGGGAACCUUAUACAGCGCUUCCCUAUACACGUUGAACUCCCGCAGGCACAAAGAAAUUACGGAGGCUAUUACUUAUCACCUGACCAAAGAUAUAUCAACACUGUGCAAAACGAGGGAUUUAGGAAAAUGAUCAACACCCUAGACAAACGCUACACAGUGCCGUCCCGCAACUAUUUUUCUGUUGUUGCACUACCUGCUCUAUACACGCAGUGUCGAGCAACGGUGGAGACGGAAUUUCAAGCAGUACAACAUUUUGCGGCAACCACAAAAUGUGAGGCAUUUAUUGUUUUUAUGUUUAUUUAUUGUUUUAUGUUCAGUUUCAACUGUUACGAAGUUGAUGUGCAGUUAAUAAGUGCAAUAAAUAUUUAUAUUGGAAAAGAAAAUCGUGAGAGAAUCGUGAUCUCAAUUCUAAGCAAAAAAAUCGUGAUUCUCAUUUUAUGCAAAAUCGUGCAGCCCUACUUGUUGCUCAUUCACUUAACCAUGCCACAAAAAAGCAGCUCAUGCAUCCAGUCUCUGCCAGACUGUCUGCAUAUCGAGUGCAGUAAUCAGGCUCCUCAAUGCAUGUGUUUAUGUACUUUGUUCCAAAGAUGUCUCUGUCUCUCUCUCUCUCUCUCUCUCUCUCUCUCUCUCGCUCUCUCUCUCUGGGUGAAUGGCGGAGUGAAUGGUGCUGGGGACAGGAGUGUAGGAGUGAGUGGAUUUCUGUUUUCGAGUACCUUUUUCUAUUUUUACUGUCAGGUGUAGGGAUGGGUACCGGUGUCGUUCUGACAUAAACGGUAGUAACCAGACCGAAAAGCAGCGCACAUUUCGGUGCUUUAUUUCGGUGCUUUCUUUUUUUUCUUGAGCCAAUUCUAGCCAAUCAUUUUACGUUUCCGAGGAAAGUAGGCGGGCUCAGGUACGUACGUUCUUUUAGAGCAGAGCUACAGAUUAAAAAAGGCGAAGCGGUCAAAAGUCUGGCUGUACUUCGCAGCAAAGCAUGCAAACUCAGCAACCUGCAACAAGUGCUUUAAGCUGAUACUGUGAUACUGUCAAAGGUAACACCUCGAAUCCGAUGAAACACCUGGCGACGCAUAGCGUUUUUUUUAAAGCCGAGAAAUGUGCCGUGUUUAGCUUGCUGCGAGACCUCACACCGAGCACAUCUACUGCGGGUGUGGGGCCUGUUAUCGGACCCGGAGUUAGCAACAACCCCCCAAAAACCCGAAGAGUAGAGUCCUGGCCCUUAGCCCUGUCAGCGUAGUAGAAAUGAUGAUGGCAGCAGCAGCCGUUCUUCUCUGAGUGAGUAGCUUAAUGUUGUUCGUGUGUAAUUCACAUUGAGUAGUCUAACCACAUUAUUACAUUAAUGCAUGUAAGGUGAACUAGCAAACAUCAUCAUAGCUACAUGCGGCUGUCUUCUUGUUUGGUGGCAGAUACUCCCUUCACCCUGGCCAAAAAGGCUAAAAUGACCAAAGAAAAAGUGGAAAACAGUUAAACAUGAGAGGUUUUUGGACCAAUUUUGUGUUUUUUCCAUUGUUUAAGCACUGCUUCCAGCCAAGAGUGAUACCAUAUAUGCCCUACAGCUGCAGAAAAGGCUUACAUUGUUAUUUUUUUUUACAAAAAAACAGCUGAACAUGAGAGGUUUUUGGACCAAUUUUGUGUUCUCCAUUCUUUAAGCACCGGUUUGAGCACCGUUUAAGCACCGGCACCAUUUCAAAAGUACCGGUUUGGCACCGGUAUCGGAUAAAACCUAAACGAUACCCAUCCCUAGGCAGGUGUGAUUAUUUUUUCAACACACGGUUGCUAGUUUGUUUUGUUUGUUGCCGGCUGGUUUGGUAGCUUUUGCUGCCAGCUUGGCACGGCACAAUGCCCUACCUGUAAGAAUACUUUAAUCACAACUUAACACAACUGAAACCUAAAUUCUGUGUUGCAUAGUUUACUAACAGUGUGUGCUAACACUGAAGUUAGCAGUUUGUUUACUAAGAGCUGCUGGGACAAACCACAGUGACCGGCUACAGAGUUUUAGUUAAGGUGGUUCUAAUAUGUGACCUGUUGAAUUAUUUACAGGGAUUUUUUCAAUUAAAGCAUCAUUUGUUAAGUUUUUAUGGAGUUCAGUUCUUUUACUGAAAGUAAUAAACCUGAGAGGAAAUAAACUUUGGACUUUAGUAAUCUGAGCUCUGAAGCUGUGAUGGAGCUCAGUCGGUGUGAAGGUGGCUGCUGUGUAACAAAUGUUUGUCUGAGGUGCUGCGACUGAUUGUGGUGCUGCAGGGAGCUGACUGUCCUCCAGCAAACUGUUUAUGGGGACACCACCUGCCCGAGGGUGUACUGAGAGGUGGUGUAUGGUGCUGGGUGUAGUCUCUCUGCUGGUUCAUAGUUUUUACUGAGGUCACCUGAUACCUGGCAGUGAAGUUUUUAUAAAUCAGCUCUGUCAGAUUUAAUCCAACAGAAUAACAUGUAAAACACUCCAGGGCUUUUAAUCUGAAACUUUCUCCAGAGCUGUCUGGAGUUUUUCUUACAUUAAAAUAUUCUGGGAUUACCAGACUGUCCACAUCGUGUGUCCUGCCAAAACUUUCAUCUAUCAUAACUUUCAUCCACAAAUAUACCCUGACAUUAAACCCAAAUAUGUCAGAGUCUGCAGUGUGAUCAUUUAAUGUGGUCUGGAAAAGCUGCAAAUGUUGCAUUUAUCUCAGAUUUGAGAGCAAGUCAUUAGUAUCAGUACUCUCUCUCUCUCUCUCUCUCUCUCUCUCCCUCUGUGUGUGUGUGUGUGUGUGUGUGUGUGUGUGUGUGUGUGUGUGUGUGUGUGUGUGUGUGUGUGAGAGAGAGAGAGAGAGAGAGAGAUAUUCAGGUAACUUACUGGGUUACUGCAGAUGCUCACACCUUUUCAGCACAACAGCUGCAUUUUAGUGUAUUACUGCCUCCUACUGGAGCAAUGAUGUCAUUGUUAACGUAUCACUAAACUAUUAAUUAAACUUGAUGUAUGUUAAUGUUGUCAUGAGACCUGGUGUAGAAAGAGAUUGAAUUCCCUCCGGAUGCCUUUAUAUCAGAGCUGAGAGGUUGAAAGGUCUUAAUAUUUCACCUUCUGUGGUUAAAAAUUACUAAAACAGAGCUUUUCUCUAUUUUGUAAAAAUAAUUUAUUCUUAUCUAAGAUAAAUCAAAAAAUAAGUCUGAUCAAUAUUUUAAUAGGAAAUGUAGUGGUGUGUGUGGUGUAGGAUGGGAUGUUUGAUCUAUAAGAUGUUUGAUUUAAUAAAAGAGAU